rnacentral:misc_RNA from 1 species
CCGAGUUUACAACUCCCAAACCCAAUGUGAACCAUACCAAACUGUUGCCUCGGCGGGGUCACGCCCCGGGUGCGUCGCAGCCCCGGAACCAGGCGCCCGCCGGAGGGACCAACCAAACUCUUUCUGUAGUCCCCUCGCGGACGUUAUUUCUUACAUCUCUGAGCAAAAAUUCAAAAUGAAUCA